rnacentral:rRNA from 1 species
AUUGAACGCUGGCGGCAGGCCUAACACAUGCAAGUCGAGCGGAUGAAGGGAGCUUGCUCCUGGAUUCAGCGGCGGACGGGUGAGUAAUGCCUAGGAAUCUGCCUGGUAGUGGGGGAUAACGUCCGGAAGCGGGCGCUAAUACCGCAUACGUCCUGAGGGAGAAAGUGGGGGAUCUUCGGACCUCACGCUCUCAGAUGAGCCUAGGUCGGAUUAGCUAGUUGGUGGGGUAAAGGCCUACCAAGGCGACGAUCCGUAACUGGUCUGAGAGGAUGAUCAGUCACACUGGAACGGAGACACGGUCCAGACUCCUACGGGAGGCAGCAGUGGGGAAUAUUGGACAAUGGGCGAAAGCCUGAUCCAGCCAUGCCGCGUGUGUGAAGAAGGUCUUCGGAUUGUAAAGCACUUUAAGUUGGGAGGAAGGGCAGUAAGUUAAUACCUUGCUGUUUUGACGGUACCAACAGAAUAAGCACCGGCUAACUUCGUG